rnacentral:rRNA from 1 species
UACGAAGGGGGCGAGCGUUGUUCGGAUUUACUGGGCGUAAAGGGCGCGCAGGCGGUAUGCCAAGUCAGGCGUGAAAGCCCCGGGCUUAACCUGGGAACUGCGUCUGGGACUGGCGUACUAGAGAUCGGGAGAGGAGAGUGGAAUUCCCAGUGUAGAGGUGAAAUUCGUAGAUAUUGGGAAGAACACCGGUGGCGAAGGCGGCUCUCUGGACCGAUACUGACGCUGAGGCGCGAAAGCGUGGGGAGCAAACAGG